ensembl:lncRNA
GUUUCCCUUCACAAUCCAAAGAAAUCCAUUUCAGGGUGCAUCCAGGGUGUUUCCCUGCCUAUGGCCUGAGAGGUUGAGAUAGGCUGCACAUGCCCACAACCCUGAAUGACGGGUGGUUUGGAAGAUGGAUGGAAGGAUGCACAGCAGUGUAAGUAUACAGCUACCUUCUAGCCAGAAUUAAAAAUACAGAUUACUUCUCAGACAAAGAAGCAGAGAAGGCAUUUCUGCUCAUGGAUAUUUCUGCUCUUGAGUGUCUGUGUUAAUGAUUUAAUUGUCAAAAGUGUGUGACUGUUUUAUCUUUUUCCCCGGGAGCAAGGGUAGUGCUCUUGGAGUCCUACCUUCCAGACUUCAGUUCCAACCCUGCUUCAACACACCUGCCUGUGAUUUUCAAGUAAUUACUGAACAUCUUCAUUAGCUGCUUCAGGUGUGUUUGAUUAGGGUUGUAGCUAAACUCUGCAGGAUCUAAGCUCUCCAGGUGCAUUGCUGGCUACUCCUGUCUAAGCGUAGAGAGUAGUAUUGUGUAAACGUUUGACUGUCGGCAUAAAGUCUGGCCCACAUUACAGCUUAUAUUCUAGCCAAGAAUCACCCACAGUCAGGAAAAGACCCAGCUCCGAGUCUCUUUGAAAGAUAUGAUGCCUCUAACCUGGCAAACUUUGGUUCAAAAAGGAUGUUUGAUGCCAUUGACACCAAAAGUCAUGUUUCAAAUAUGCAGACGUGUAAACUUUCAGGUAAUGACAAGUAAAACAUUUUUUGACCACUUCUUUAUAGCAUCUCACCAAGCUUCCUUCCCAGUAAUAUAUUCAUUAGGCCGCAAAGAGAUAUCUAUUAGUUUUAAACAAUGAAUUCUGCUUGUGAGCACAAUGUAUUCUCUGGUUUUGCAGUUGGAAGAUAAUUAUAGAUCUAAAGAAUGGAAAUCUACUGGAUCUUCAGAGAUAAUCAAGAGGGUGGGGAUAGCUGUGAGGCUGCUCACAGGCCGCUGGUUGCCUCCAUCCACAGGCCUGGCCAUCUGCCUCUGGCUGCUGAUUGACAGGACUAACCGGGGAGACACAAUUGUGCCAACGGCUGAGGGCAGAGGACACUGACUGCGAGCGAGACAGACGUGACCAUCGACAAAAUCGCCUGCUGCUCAUAACUGCUACCUUUUGCUCGGGACUCAGGGGUGGGGGGCAGGAAACUGCUAACCGCAAUGACAAAACCCAUACAAAAAUCUCAUCUCUUCAGUGGAGUUGAAUGUUCAGGCAAAGGAUGGGAUGUCAUAACAGAAUAAAAAAACAUAUCAUAGAUAAAUCUUUUUUCUU